rnacentral:rRNA from 1 species
GUGUCAGCAGCCGCGGUAAGACAGAGGAGCCAAGCGUUGUCCGGAGUAACUGGGCGUAAAGCGCACGCAGGUGGUCGGGUGCGUGGGGUGUGAAAGCUCUGGGCUUAACUCAGAGAGGCCACCUCAUACGGCCUGGCUCGAGCCCUGCAGAGGUCCACGGAAUUGCCGGUGUAGUGGUGAAAUGCGUAGAGAUCGGCAGGAACACCCAGGGGGAAACCAGUGGACUGGGCAGGCGCUGACACUCAUGUGCGAAAGCGUGGGGAGCGAACCGGAUUAGAUACCCCCGUAGUCC